rnacentral:rRNA from 1 species
GCGGAGGAAAAGAAACUAACAAGGAUUCCCCUAGUAACUGCGAGUGAAGCGGGAAGAGCUCAAAUUUAAAAUCUGGCGGUCUCCGGCCGUCCGAGUUGUAACCUGGAGGAGCGUUUUCCGCGUCGGACCGUGUACAAGUCUCCUGGAACGGAGCGUCAUAGAGGGUGAGAAUCCCGUCCAUGACACGGACGNCCCGAUGCUUUGUGAUUGCGCGCCCGAAGAGUCGCGUUGUUUGGGAAUGCAGCGCAAAAUGGGUGGUAAAUUCCAUCUAAAGCUAAAUACUGGCGAGAGACCGAUAGCGAACAAGUACCGUGAGGGAAAGAUGAAAAGCACUUUGGAAAGAGAGUUAAACAGUACGUGAAAUUGUUGAAAGGGAAACGCUUGAAGUCAGUCGCGUCUUGCGGAACUCAACCUGGCUUCGGCCUGGUGUACUUUCCGUCGAGACGGGUCAACAUCAAUUUCGCGCGGCGGACAAGGGCGAGGGGAAUGUAGCGUCGCUUCGGCGACGUGUUAUAGCCCCUCGUCGGAUACGCCGGGCGGGAUUGAGGACCGCAGCGCGCCCUUGUGGCCGGGGUUCGUCCCACGUCACGCGCUUAGGAUGUUGGCAUAAUGGCUUUAAGCGACCCGUCUUGAAACACGGACCAAGGAGUCUAACAUGCUUGCGAGUGUUCGGGUGGAAAACCCUUGCGCGCAAUGAAAGUGAAAGUUGGGAGCCUCCGCGAGGGGGUGCACCGACGCCCGGCCCUGAAGUGCUCUGACGGUGCUGCGGUAGAGCAGGCGUGUUGGGACCCGAAAGAUGGUGAACUAUGCCUGAAUAGGGCGAAGCCAGAGGAAACUCUGGUGGAGGCUCGUAGCGAUUCUGACGUGCAAAUCGAUCGUCAAAUUUGGGUAUAGGGGCGAAAGACUAA